rnacentral:precursor_RNA from 17 species
AACAAGGUUUCCUCUCCGUGCUUUCUGAUGACCUUCAUUCCACCAGAAUCUGUAGUGAAUACAUCCGGAUUUGAGUGAAAUGGAGAACAUUAAGACAUGGGAUCCAACGAGUGAGAAGA